UACAGAGGGGGCAAGCGUUGUUCGGAAUUACUGGGCGUAAAGGGCGCGUAGGCGGCCCGCUAAGUCGAACGUGAAAUCCCCAGGCUCAACCUGGGAACGGCAUCCGAUACUGGCGGGCUUGAAUCCGGGAGAGGGAUGCAGAAUUCCAGGUGUAGCGGUGAAAUGCGUAGAUAUCUGGAGGAAUACCGGUGGCGAAGGCGGCGUUCUGGACUGCAACUGACACUGAUGAACGAAAGCCAGGGGAGCAAACGGG
rnacentral:rRNA from 1 species